AGAGUUUGAUUCUGGCUCAGAACGAACGCUGGCGGCGUGGAUAAGACAUGCAAGUCGAACGAGAGAAUUGCUAGCUUGCUAAUAAUUCUCUAGUGGCGCACGGGUGAGUAACACGUGAGUAACCUGCCCCCGAGAGCGGGAUAGCCCUGGGAAACUGGGAUUAAUACCGCAUAGAAUCGCAAGAUUAAAGCAGCAAUGCGCUUGGGGAUGGGCUCGCGGCCUAUUAGUUAGUUGGUGAGGUAACGGCUCACCAAGGCGAUGACGGGUAGCCGGUCUGAGAGGAUGUCCGGCCACACUGGAACUGAGACACGGUCCAGACACCUACGGGUGGCAGCAGUCGAGAAUCAUUCACAAUGGGGGAAACCCUGAUGGUGCGACGCCGCGUGGGGGAAUGAAGGUCUUCGGAUUGUAAACCCCUGUCAUGUGGGAGCAAAUUAAAAAGAUAGUACCACAAGAGGAAGAGACGGCUAACUCUGUGCCAGCAGCCGCGGUAAUACAGAGGUCUCAAGCGUUGUUCGGAAUCACUGGGCGUAAAGCGUGCGUAGGCUGUUUCGUAAGUCGUGUGUGAAAGGCGCGGGCUCAACCCGCGGACGGCACAUGAUACUGCGAGACUAGAGUAAUGGAGGGGGAACCGGAAUUCUCGGUGUAGCAGUGAAAUGCGUAGAUAUCGAGAGGAACACUCGUGGCGAAGGCGGGUUCCUGGACAUUAACUGACGCUGAGGCACGAAGGCCAGGGGAGCGAAAGGGAUUAGAUACCCCUGUAGUCCUGGCAGUAAACGGUGCACGCUUGGUGUGCGGGGAAUCGACCCCCUGCGUGCCGGAGCUAACGCGUUAAGCGUGCCGCCUGGGGAGUACGGUCGCAAGAUUAAAACUCAAAGAAAUUGACGGGGACCCGCACAAGCGGUGGAGUAUGUGGUUUAAUUCGAUGCAACGCGAAGAACCUUACCUGGG
rnacentral:rRNA from 1 species